rnacentral:lncRNA from 1 species
CAACUCUAGAUUAACCAACCCAAUCGAUUCAACAUGUUUAGUCCUUCCACCUUUGUGAUUCCACACUCCUAAUCAUAUUAGCUAAAAUGUUGCACACUCAAUCUUUGGAAGAUAUAAACAAAACAUAUAUAUAGAUAGAUUAUCUUUCCAUAAGGUUGAGCAAUCUAAUUUGACAAAUGUUAAAUACUACACUCAUGAUUUUAUUAUCCAUCAACUUUGUCUUGCUCACUAUGUUUAAGGUUAGAGAAGAACAAAUACACUUUUGGUUCUGUUGGUGUUUUCCACCAACAGGGCCCAUGCACUUGAUCUAUGCCUUGUCUUUAUGAGCAGGUACACUUCGAGCAAAAUAUGAAGGACUUUUACAACUCCCAGACCCCACCUAGUGAAGAACCUAGAUCUACAAGCACAAACACACUGGAGAUACUGGACACUCAGGGAAUCACUGCCCUAGGAUGCUUGAGGAUGUAACUACUGGAGUAACCCCGUUGUGGAAGUAAUUACUGACCUUCUGCCGGUCAAGAGAGACAAUCCAGGACGCCCCGUCAUCUCGAUCUCCAUUGGCAUGGUGGACUUCCUAGAAGCACUCUGCGACUUUGGCUCCAGCGUCAACAUUAUGCUCAGGGUACUCUAUGAAAAAUUCUUUACACAUCCUUUAUUAGAGACAGCCAUGUGUUUGUAGCUUGCAGAUCAUACGCUAAGUUUCCCAAAGGGAAUAUUGAAGAACCUCUACGUCCGAGUUGGUACCUUGUACGCCCCAGCAGACUUCAUGGUGAUAGAGACUGGUACUGAUAAGAGGGCACCCAUCAUCCUAGGGAGGCCAUUCUUGAACACCUCGGGAGCUGUCAUCUACGCUAGUGCUGCCAAGAUCAGUUUCUACAUCAAGGGGAAGCAGGAGACAUUUUCCUUCACGAGCAAGACUACACAAAUCUCAGAGCAAUCCCGACAUGAACCAAGGAAGGACCAACAGAAGGAACAGGAACAAGCAAAUGUGGACCAAGUCAGCUAAGAUGGUCACUGCAGUUUAAGGAGGUCAAGAUCGUCGACUUAAGUCACCAUUCCUGACCCAGUCACCUAUCAGCUCCUAUUCGGAACCAUGCCCCUAAAACCGACAUACAUUCAGCUCCAGAUGGCAGAUCAGACAUUCCGAAAGGUUGAAGGUCAGGACAAGAAGAAGACGACGCAACCGCAACUAGAGGAGCCAAAUCAUCAAGGACGGAUGGGUAGACUAUGAAGCAGAAGUUGUAAGGUCUGAAGACAUACAGCUUAAACAAAACUGUCCUGAGGAGACCGUAGCACCGAGUCAGGUGUGUAGAGAGAAGAUAGUUAUACACGAAGAGGAGGCACCGCCGGAACCACCGACUACGCCACCCAGCGAAUCCCAGGACGACUGAGAAUAUGGAGAGUCCCGUUCGGAGGACUUAAAAACACCGAACGCCUUGCCAAGAGGUAAACUUGGUAGUUAUCUUUUUCCUUUCAAUUAUUUUAAAAUAGUUUGCUUAGUUAAUCAGGUUCAUAUCAUCUUGAAAAGAAAAUAAAAAUGUUGAAGAUAGUAAGCCCCAUGUGAGUAUGCUCAUGGCAUAAAACCCAUAAGUAUAUUCACUGUGGUGGCAUAAAAAUAAAAUAAAUAUAUUUCUGUCCUAUAAAAAUAAAAUUAUAAAAAUAAAAUUAUGAUCCUACUAAUGAGUAACAUUUAUUGAGGAGGCUCAACAUGAUAAAGGCUAGAUAUUUAUGCUAACACUUAACCAGUUCCACAAAGCUUUGUUGUCUAUUUAUUCAAGGAUCAAAGAAGACUAGCAGACGGAGGACAUCCUAAUCGCUGUCAGAGUGCUGCCGACAUUCAAAUACACCUUCGCCACCUGCUAGCUACAUCAGAAGAAAUUACGUCGAAAUCCAGCUUGGGGGAGAGCACCCCCAUUUAUCUAGAUAAGUGUUCUACUCACGUUUAUACUUUACUCUAAUAAUAAAAUGAUGCAUAAUCAUAAAAACCCAAAUAAAAAUUUUGUGCUUAUAUAUAUAUAUAUCUUUGCUUAGUUUGAUAAAUAAAUAAAUAAAUAAAUAAAGUUUGCUAUGAACCCUCAUGAUAAGCUCUCACAUGGAAAUGAUGACUAGUUGCUCUGCCAUGACUAGUUCUCAAAAUUGAAAUCUCUCUCAAGUUUAGGCAUGACUGUUAUAAAUUAAGAUUUGCUCUAAACCUAAACUUGUGGGAAGAGUACUUGAUCUGAAGUCUAAGUCGUUAACGGAUAUGAUAUGGGAAUGUUAAGCUGCUGUUUAUCUGUUCCUAGAGAUGCUAGAAUUCUGGAGAAUUUUAUCUUUGAAAAUCUUUAAAAUGUUGCAUGAUGAGUUCCUGUAUGAUGAGAGUUUAAAUUCCUACCACAGCCAUAUAUACAUACUUGCUAGACUUUGAGCCACACAUUUACUUUUUACUGCUUAUGAGCAUUGAGUGUGGUCAAGCUGUAUAGACCCUUAGGAGCUUGUCAUGUGGUUAAGUCAAGAUUCACUUGCACGUUCACUUAUACAUGCUGCUUCUACUCUGGAAGUACGCAUCCACAUACAUCAACCCAUUUCCAUCUCCAGAACCACCCAAAAAUAUUCUACUCCUAAUCCGGGAGAGAAUAGCCAAAAACAUUUCUGUUUUUCCCCUAUGAAAUAAAUGCUCAAGUUAUCUUGGUUACUACCACUUGCUAUAUUAUUUCAAAAGAUGAGUGCUCAUAAAAAAAAGAAAAAAAAAGAAAAAAAAAGAGAUACGAGGAAAUAAAAAGGGGCAAGUGCCCGAAACCUCGAAGAAAAGAAAAAGUGAGACGAGAGGUAAAAAUGGACAAGUGUCCGACAGUAGAAUUAGGGGUACAAGAUACCCACCUGAGAGAAAAGAAAAAGAAAAUAUAGAGCAUCUCAUUCUCCCAAAAAGUUUCAAAAGAGCAAGAAGGGUAUGUAUCCCCUCAAAAGAGCAAAAGUAGAAUUAGACUUUCACCAUUGUUAUCACCAUCAUUACCAUGCAUCAUUCAUUCGCCACACAUGCACAUCUUGAUUUGACUUAUUGACUUGUUCUUCUGGAUCCAUGGUUUGACUAUGCAAUAAAUGUCUUGUAAGUAUGUAUUAGCUGUCUCCCACCUAUGAGCUCCAGAUAUCAAAAGCCUUAUUAGAGUAGGGUGAGAGAGAAGGCAAUGCCACUAUGCCUUAUACCACAAAUACCACAUACUUUGAGAGAAGGCAUAUACCAAUACUGCCUUGGUAAGGAUCUAGAAAUACCACAAAAGAGAGACUAGAGAGAGUCAUACAAGGAAUCUCUGAGUUUUAUUUGAAAAUCUGCAAAAACUCCAGAGCUAUAGUUAAUCGAAGAACAAGAGACAUGGUGCUUGACUAGACUGUUCUAUCUUUUAACUACUCAAGACAGAAGUGACGGUUACAAGUCCCAUGGUGAAAGGUAAAUGAGUAAGUUUUAAGUCUUAACAGUUUACUCUAACCAGAGAUGAGAUCUUGUUUAUGUAUCUUUAAGUUAUGAAACCACUGCAGAAACUCUUGAGUUCAUCUUUGCUCAGGGACGAGCAAAGGUUAAGCUUGGGAGAGCUUAUUGACGGUCCUUAAUGCUCACAUUUAACCAUCAACUAAUCAUGGAAAAGGAUCUAAAUGCAACCAACACCCAGACUUAGGGUUUUAUCUGACAGAAUUCCACAAGUUUUGGUGUUUGUCUAUUUCUGCAGGGGGUUAUCAGGAAAUACGGAAGAAAGGCCCACACGUCGGGUUUACAUAGAGAUAUUAACGUGCUGCGCAAUUUUCUAUCAUCUAGAAGACUCCAGAAGCCACGGGACCGAACGGGAGACGUAACGGAGCCGGGCACUGGGCGCCCGCCCUCCCUUACUGGGCGCCCGCCCUCCCCCCUGGACCAAACAGAGUCCAAUUCGGGGACAAUGCUCCACCGACCUAAUACUUCAAGGAAAACCACACGAUCAAUGUCGGUUUGAUCCGACGGCCCAGAUUCACUUGAAGGGACUAUAAAACCAGACCCCCCUGGCCCCUGGAGAUCAUACCUCUUCUACAGAAUCAAAGUUAGGGUUUCAAUUCUUCAUCCAAGUAGAGAGGAUCCCUUUAGUUCUUCUAGUUCUACCUCUAGUUCAUCUAGAUCUAGUUCUAGUUCAUCUAGUUCUAGUUCUAGUUCCUCUAGUUCUAGUUCUAGUUAGUUCUAGUUGUAAUCUAGAAAAUAGGGAGAGAGAAGAGG